UAUGUAUGUAUAUAUAUAUAUAUAUAUAUAUAUAUAUGUAUGUAUAUAUACACACACAUAUACAUACAUACAUACAUAUACAUACACACACACACAUAUAUACACAUAUAUACAUA
rnacentral:miRNA from 1 species